UGAGUCACGUAACAGUUGAAAUCUGCUGAAUCAUCUUCCUGUAUCUCCACACUCUUCCUCAGCUGGUAGGUUCCAUCAUCAUUGGGUCUGAUUCCAGAAGAUGUGAUCAGAUGAUCAGGAAUUUCAGUGGUGAACUUCCUCAGACUCAUCUUCACGUGUUUGGGGUAGAAUCCCGUGAUCAGGCAGGUCAGGGUCAGCUUUUUCAAGUCAUUUUUUGAUUUCUUUGCAAAUAUAAAAACAGCAGGUGGAGCUAAAGACAGAAAACAGUUUAAACAAUUCAGUUUUCAGAACACAGAAUAAACAUGACUGACUGGCAGCUCAUAGCAUGUUAUGAUCUGAUCUGGACUCAUACAGUAAUGUGUUCAUGAUUUUAGCAGAAACUAUAGUAUUUUUUUAAUGUCUGAAUAAAAGUAAAUUAUAUUUUAUGUCCGUUUGCUUUCCUUCACUCAUUGUGUACUUUUAAGUAGCAUUAAAUAUUAUAUUUUCUGUAGUAACUGUAAGUAAAUUAUCAGGAUGUAUCAUCAUCAGAUAAUAAGGAAACAUGGUGAGUUGAAGCUCUUGCAGGUCUUGUCAGCAGAGCUUCAGCCAGUAUUUUCUUAUUAGAA